UUACAUUCUGGGUAGCAUGUUUAUGUUAAUUGGAGCAAAGUACAUUGCAGGGCAGAAGUAGACUUGAACCUUAUUGCAUUUCAGAAGAUGGAAAAUGAAGUCAUUGGGUCCAUGGCUUACCCCUUCAAAAUCAAGAUGUGCUGUAGUGGCCUUGGCAAAAGACAUUCCAACUGAAAGUCAAAAUGAUAAAUUAAGACCUUUCAGGCCACGUAGCAGGAAGUUGUAUUGACCAUAUCUGGUAUGAUGAAAUCAUUAAUUCUCAUGUCCUUAUUACUGUAGUUUCCCCACACUGUUCUCUAGAAGCAGCUCCUUACUUUAACACUGAAGCUACUGUGGUUUGGUGUUUCUGCUAUUUUUCAUGUACAGUUCAUUCUAAUGGAAUUGUCAAUGAUAGUAAGCAACUCUUGGCCGUGCAAAACAGUCAUUGUCAAAUUUGAUAUAUUUUUUUUUAAAUGGCACUAAAUGUCACAGACAUCAACAGAUGUGUGUCUGUGUAUGAUGGUUUUAGUUUGAAGUUUGAAAGAGUGAGACGUACUAUUAGUACAAUUUAGUUGCUUCUCAAAUCUAUUCAGGAGAGUUUUAGUGCACUUUA